CGUUAACCGAGAUNUNUCAAACGGAAUGAGUACAACGUGAAUCCUUUAACGAGGAUCGACUGGAGGGCAAGCCUGGUGCCAGCAGCCGCGGUAAUUCCAGCUCCAGUAGCGUAUAUUAAAGCUGUUGCGGUUAAAAAGCUCGUAGUUGGAUAUCAGUGCGUGUCCGGUCCGGUAUGCCUGGCGGCGUCGCUCGCGCGNCACUGCUGGGCUCCCAAAUAUCGGCUGGCCGCAUUCAAUCGUGCCGGAUCCGUCGACGGGCCGUUCUUCGGAGGGGCCUGUUGGCGACCGGCGACGUUACCUUGAACAAAUUAGAGUGCUCAAAGCAGGCUCUGAAUGCCUGUAUACAUAUUCAUGGAAUUGGAGAAUACGUCCCUGGCUCGAUUUGGUUGGUUUUGAGAGUCGAAGGGAAAUGAUUAAUAGGGACUGACGGAGGCAUUCGUAUUGCGACGCGAGGGGUGAAAUCCUGUGACCGUCGCACGACGAACUACUGCGAAAGCAUUUGCCGAGAAUGUUUUCAUUAGUCAAGAACGAAAGUUAGAGGUUCGAAGGCGAUCAGAUACCGCCCUAGUUCUAACCGUAAACGAUGUCGACCAGCAAUCCGCAACGGUCACUACACGGACUGUGCGGGCAGCUUCCCCGGGGAAACCAGAGUUUUUGGACUCCGGGGGAAGUAUGGUUGCAAAGCUGAAACUUAAAGGAAUUGACGGAAGGGCACCACCAGGAGUGGAGCUUGCGGCUUAAUUUGACUCAACACGGGACAACUCACCAGGCCCGGACACCGUAAGGAUUGACAGACUGAUAGCUCUCUCUUGAUUCAGUGGGUGGUGGUGCAUGGCCGUUCUUAGUUGGUGGAGUGAUUUGUCUGGUUUAUUCCGAUAACGAACGAGACUCUGGCCUAUUAAACUUGACACUGUCAGUCUCUUGUGACUGCGGUGCGCUUC
rnacentral:rRNA from 1 species